AUCAGUCUUCCCUGUCAAAGGAGAUACCUGGCACAUAAAGAACUACGCUAUUUAUACAGUAUUUUAUGGUGUGCAAAGAGAUUUCCUCUUUCAUUUGAUCUUCAAAAGAGUCCUGCAAAGAAGGCAAGGCAGGCACUACUACCCACAUUUCACAGAUGAGGAAACUGAGGCCCGAGGAAAAACGACCCCCAAAAGGUGCCAGAAUCACCACCUGAGACUUCCGCAUCUAGAACCCAGUGUUUUCUCCACGACAUUGGGUUUGUAUAAUGACAAGAUCAGCACAAAGCACAGCCCAGGAAGAGGGACCAGGCCUAAGAGGAAGAUACAAUAAGACACCUCAGUUUCUGCUCCUGAUGCCAUGCUUGAGUGAGGCAAAGGCUUUUUCCUUCCUCUCUGGUAAAGGUUCCAGGAAAGAGUUCGAUCUGUGAGUCAACAGCCCCUGCCCACUUGAUGUUAUCCUGUUUCUCCCCAACGAUGAGUCUUCUCUGAUUCUAGAGGUCCUGGUUGCAGAGCAGGAGCGAGGUGGACUCUGCCUCCACUCACCCUACUGUGUCUGGUCGGGAGUGCUGUCCAUGACCUGUGCCUUGGGCAUGAGAGUUACCACUCAGCCUCACACUAAGGGAUGACCGAGGUAUCCUUUUGUGCUCUGAUGACUAUGCCCUGUUUCCAGGCCUGGGGGUGAAGAGCCAUGCAGGGCUGCUGAGUCAAUGCAGCAAACAUUUAUGGAGCAUCCGCUAUGUGCUGGGCAUGCAGUCAGUGUCUGGCACUGCUGGAGCAACCAGAUUCACUUCCUGCUCUAAAGGAGUUGGUUAUCCAGAGGGAGGGACAGACACGGACACACACCUCUAUUGCUAGACAGAGUGGAGCAGGCUUCAUCAUAGCACUGUGCUGAUUGCUUUACACAAAGCAUCUCAUUUGCUCCUCGUAACUGCCCAUGAGACAGUAUUAUUAUUAUUAUUUUUAGUGUUCCUAACUGAUGCUUAAACUGUUGGAGUUGCACAGAGCUUGUUCUUGCUCAGAUUGGGUUGAGAUUCAAAUACAGCUUUCCCUGGUUUUCUGUACCAGCCGAGAGGCAGGUGCCACAGGGAAUCAGCAUGGGGCUUGGAGUCAGCCCAAUCUGGGUUGAAACCUGUCUCUGCUGCUUUUCAGAUGUGACCUUGGGUAAGCUGACACUCUGAACUUCAGUUUCUUUAUCUGUAAAAAGGAGGACAGUGUAGAAAUUUGCAGGCCAGAUAGUAUAUGUAAACCCCCUGGCACAAUUAAUAAAUAGAAGCAAAUGUCAAUAAUAAUAGGGGAACCAACAAAAUUCCGUCGGGGCUCAGGGCCCUUGAAGAGUACAUAGAAUUUUGACAUCAAGGAGAAGCCAGAGAACAUUUCAGGCAGAAAGAAGAGCCGAGCCAAGCAUGAAAGCAGGUAAUGAGGCGACGGGGGAGGAGGGCAAGCUGGGCUGCCUGGACCACGGAGGAAUCUUGCUAACGAUGACACUGGAAAGUAAGGACAGGGCUGGUCAUGGGCAAACACUGAAUGCCAGGCCUGGGGGUCUCAUCCUCUCUCCUUAGCCAAUGAGGCAUCUCAAAGUUUUCAAUGGCAUAUGAGCCAUUAUUUAAUUUGCUUUUUUUUAAAAAAGAAUGCUUGUAACAACAAUAACAAUAGUAGUGACUACUUACUGUGUACCUCUAUCACUGUGCGAAGAUUUACAGUGUAAUGUCAUCUGAUCCUUAAGAUUAUCUGAGGUUACUGGUUUUUUGUUUGUUUUGUUUUGUUUUGUUUUUGAGAUGGAACCUCAUUCUGUCACCCAGGCUGGAGUGUAGUGGCAUGAUCUUGGUGCACUGCGAACUCCACCUUCCGGGUUCAAGCGAUUCUUGUGCCUCAGCCUCCCGAGUAGCUGGGAUUACAGGCAUGUGCCACCAUACCCGGCUAAUUUUUGUAUUUUUAGUAGAGACAAGGUUUCACCAUGUUGGCCAGGCUGGUCUCGCACUCCUGACCUCAGUGAUCUUCCUGCCUCCACCUCUCAAACUGCUGGGAUUUCAGACAUGAACCACCGUGCCUGGCCUGAGGUUACUCUUAUUAUCUCCAUUUUACAAAACUGAGUGAAAUGGUUCAAUAUGAAGACUGUAGCCAAAUUGCCAGGAUUCAGAUUUUGGACUCACAGCUCACUAACUGUACAUGGGCAACUUACUAAACCUCUGUGGGGCUCACCAUUCCCACCUUUAAAACGGGGAUGGAGAUAGCAUUUACCUAACAGGGAGGUUGUAAAGAGUAAAUGGUCAAUGCAUAUAUAAAGUAAUUAGAAGAGAGGCUGUCAAUAAGCUCCCAAUAGCUCUUAUUUGAUGAUGACUGCCCAAGGUUGCUGAUGGGUGCCCCUCGGCU
rnacentral:lncRNA from 10 species